rnacentral:misc_RNA from 1 species
GAUGAAGAACGCAGCGAAAUGCGAUAAGUAAUGUGAAUUGCAGAAUUCAGUGAAUCAUCGAAUCUUUGAACGCACAUUGCGCCCGGCAGUACUCUGCCGGGCAUGCCUGUUCGAGCGACAUUUCAACCCUCAAGCCCUGCUUGGUGUUGGGGUCCCACGGCCGCCGUGGGCCCUGAAAGGAAGUGGCGGGCUCGCUACAACUCCGAGCGUAGUAAUUCAUUAUCUCGCUUAGGGCGUUGGGCGGCGCUCCUGCCGUUAAAGAACCAUCUUUAACUCAAGGUUGACCUCGGAUCAGGUAGGAAUACCCGCUGAACUUAAGCAUAUCAAUAAGCGGAGGA